CCUACGGGUGGCAGCAGUGAGGAAUAUUGGUCAAUGGACGCAAGCCUGAACCAGCCAAGCCGCGUGCAGGAAGACGGCUCUAUGAGUUGUAAACUUCUUUUGUACGAGGGUAAACUCAGAUACGUGUAUCUGUCUGAAAGUAUCGUACGAAUAAGGAUCGGCUAACUCCGUGCCAGCAGCCGCGGUAAUACGGAGGAUUCAAGCGUUAUCCGGAUUUAUUUGGUUUAAAGGGCGGGUAGGCGGUCGGAUAAGUUAGAGGUGAAAUCCCGGGGCUCAACUUCGGAAUUGCCUGUGAUACUGUUCGGCUAGAGAGUAGUUGAGGUAGGCGGAAUGUAUGGUGUAGCGGUGAAAUGCUUAGAGAUCAUACAGAACACCGAUUGCGAAGGCAGUUUACCAAGCUACUUCUGACGUUGAGGCACGAAAGCGUGGGGAGCAAACAGGAUUAGAUACCCUAGUAGUC
rnacentral:rRNA from 1 species